rnacentral:rRNA from 1 species
UGGUGGAGUGAUUUGUCUGGUUAAUUCCGAUAACGAACGAGACCUAAACCUGCUAAAUAGGGGCGGGCACGCGAGUGCUGCGCACCUUCUUAGAGGGACUGAAUACGUUUAGUAUUCGGAAGUUUUAGGCAAUAACA